UCGACCUGAGUCCAGGAAAAAU
rnacentral:rRNA from 1 species